UACGAAGGGGGCUAGCGUUGCUCGGAAUCACUGGGCGUAAAGCGCACGUAGGCGGAUUGUUAAGCCAGAUGUGAAAGCCCCGGGCUCAACCUGGGAACUGCGUUUGGUACUGGCAAGCUAGAGUACGGCAGAGGGGGGUGGAAUUCCACGUGUAGCAGUGAAAUGCGUAGAGAUGUGGAGGAACACCGAUGGCGAAGGCAGCCCCCUGGGCCGAUACUGACGCUCAGGCACGAAAGCGUGGGGAGCAAACAGG
rnacentral:rRNA from 1 species